rnacentral:rRNA from 1 species
CCUACGGGAGGCAGCAGUGGGGAAUUUUGGACAAUGGGCGAAAGCCUGAUCCAGCCAUGCCGCGUGCAGGAUGAAGGCCUUCGGGUUGUAAACUGCUUUUGUACGGAACGAAAAGCCUCUUUCUAAUAAAGAGGGGUCAUGACGGUACCGUAAGAAUAAGCACCGGCUAACUACGUGCCAGCAGCCGCGGUAAUACGUAGGGUGCGAGCGUUAAUCGGAAUUACUGGGCGUAAAGCGUGCGCAGGCGGUUAUAUAAGACAGUUGUGAAAUCCCCGGGCUCAACCUGGGAACUGCAUCUGUGACUGUAUAGCUAGAGUACGGUAGAGGGGGAUGGAAUUCCGCGUGUAGCAGUGAAAUGCGUAGAUAUGCGGAGGAACACCGAUGGCGAAGGCAAUCCCCUGGACCUGUACUGACGCUCAUGCACGAAAGCGUGGGGAGCAAACAGGAUUAGAUACCCUGGUAGUCCACGCCCUAAACGAUGUCAACUGGUUGUUGGGAAUUCACUUUCUCAGUAACGAAGCUAACGCGUGAAGUUGACCGCCUGGGGAGUACGGCCGCAAGGUUGAAACUCAAAUGAAUUGACGGCUGNGAGNGCGAGACGACGACGAGGAGAGG